GAAAUAGCUCAGUUGGUUAGAGCAUGGUGCCAAUAACGCCAAGGUUGCAGGUUCAAUCCCUAUAAGGGACA